rnacentral:rRNA from 1 species
AUGGAUGUUCUGGGCGGCGAUCGAUUAGCAACAAGAGGAUUCUGGCUGAAUUGGAACACAGAGGAACUGAAGAUAAUUGCACAAUUCUGGAGAGGAGAGGAGAAGAGGAAGAAGCAAGCGGACUGGGAGAAUUCUCCAGGAGAUCAAUCGGCCGAACCGGGACGGGCAUGGGCGUCGACCAGAUCGCAGCAUCACCAUCACGACGCCCGGAUCCGCUUCUCGGCGGUCACGGGCAUGGGCAUCGACCGGAACACGGUGGAGAGGUCCCGCGGGACGGCGAGGCACACCCGCGCCGUCGUCGUCGCCGUCAGCGUCGGCCGCGACUUCCGCUUCAGCGCCGGAAGCCGGGGCACCGGCGGCUUGCGCGGCGCCGCUGGGCACUCCUCGGGCAGCAGGAUCCUGCACUCCUUCGACGUCGGCGUCGACGGGUCCUUCUCCUCCGCCGCCGCUGUGGCCUCCGUCUUGCCCUCCGCUGCCGCCGACUCCUGCGUGGACGACGCCGGCGACGGCGAGGCCGAGGCAGCGUCGGAGGGGGCCAAAGGCGCCGUCUUGAUCGGCGGCAGCGACGGCAGGGACUCGUCGGCGGAGGAGGCCAUUGCUGUCGGCCGGAUCGGCGGUGAAAUUCGCGGCGCGAGUGGGUGUGGAAGGAAUGGGAUCGAAUUCUUGUUCUCUGGUGGGUGCAGGAGGUGGGUCAAAAAAAGAAGCGAGGAAAGAGAGAGGUUGGGGCUGUAG